rnacentral:rRNA from 1 species
GACAGAGGGUGCAAACGUUGCUCGGAAUCACUGGGCGUAAAGGGCGCGUAGGCGGGAAUGUAAGUCGGGCGUGAAAUCCCUAGGCUCAACCUAGGAACUGCACUCGAAACUGCGUUUCUUGAGUAUCGGAGAGGAAAGCGGAAUUCCUGGUGUAGAGGUGAAAUUCGUAGAUAUCAGGAGGAACACCAGUGGCGAAGGCGGCUUUCUGGACGGUACUGACGCUGAGACGCGAAAGCGUGGGGAGCGAACAGG